rnacentral:rRNA from 1 species
CCUACGGGUGGCAGCAGUGGGGAAUAUUGGACAAUGGGGGCAACCCUGAUCCAGCCAUGCCGCGUGUGUGAAGAAGGCCCUCGGGUUGUAAAGCACUUUCAGUGAGGAAGAACGCCUGGUGGUUAAUACCCAUCAGGAAAGACAUCACUCACAGAAGAAGCACCGGCUAACUCCGUGCCAGCAACCGCGGUAAUACGGAGGGUGCGAGCGUUAAUCGGAAUUACUGGGCGUAAAGCGCGCGUAGGUGGCUUGAUAAGCCGGUUGUGAAAGCCCCGGGCUCAACCUGGGAACGGCAUCCGGAACUGUCAAGCUAGAGUGCAGGAGAGGAAGGUAGAAUUCCCGGUGUAGCGGUGAAAUGCGUAGAGAUCGGGAGGAAUACCAGUGGCGAAGGCGGCCUUCUGGACUGACACUGACACUGAGGUGCGAAAGCGUGGGUAGCAAACAGGAUUAGAUACCCGUGUAGUC